rnacentral:misc_RNA from 1 species
AAUACAUGUUUUAGUUAUGUCAAGUGCACGAGGCAUACAUUGUCCACCUGCAUAAGCCCUUUCAAGUCUUAAAACAUUGUCCUAACCCACAACCAACAGACAUUGCAAUGAAAACAUAAUAUGGGGACUUGCAAAACGAACUAGAGAAAUCCUGCAUUCCACAAAAGGAAAUUUACAAUUUGGUCUCUGAGUUUUACCCUAUAUUAAACCUAGUCCUUAGAUUUUCAGAAAUUAAUUAUUUAACUCCUGAGUUUUGCAUUAUAUUAUACUUUAAU